CGAACGCAUCAAAUCCGCAUCAAAUCCUUCGCACCCAUCGACUUUGCCCCCAACAUCCCCGCCGAGCUCUUCCUCCAGCGCUCCACCGUUGAUAGCAUCGUCGGUGGCGGUGCAGCUCCGACGCCCCCAAUGCCACUGUGGAAGGCUGUCGCGCUCCUCCCCCGACGAGCUGCGCAACUACAACUGGGUUCAAUUCAAGAUUUCAAGGUCCAAGUUCAGAUCUUUUGUGUUCCGUCCCCAACGCACAAACGGCCAGGGCAACAGGAACAGCGACGGUGCCGGAAGGGGUCUGGAUUGAGCUCACUUGAUGCAAUUACUCAUCCUUCAUGCAGUUUCACUUGAUGACGAUGGAGCCAAGGAAGCAACAUCCGAGCAUCAGUCAUUUGCCAAAUUCAUCGCAGUAAGGUGCUUCCACAAUUGAGAUGGAGUACACGCCUGGAUGGAUUGUUUGAGCAAUGUAGCAAGCACAACAUUAUGAGGGCCAAGGUCUUGCUCAGGUUGUCAUCCGGGAGCAGGCCUCCGGCACUGACACUGUAACCAUCGAGGCACCAACCACCGAAGAAACAUGAGAUCAAUUUAUAUAAGCUCAUUUAUCUUGAGAAAAUGGAUCUGGGUAGCCAAAGAUUUUUUUUCCAUCAAUUGUCAUAUAUCAAGUUAGACUUCCUAAUAUUUAUUUUUCCCCUGCAGUUUGGGUUCUCUCAUAUUUUUCAUGUGAGAUUUGCGCUAGAUUUCACUUUUGGGGUAAAAUUCUCACUUGAUCUGGGUUGUUCAUGUAUUCAGUUUGUGCAUUAAUUACUAGAUGCCGCAAAAGGAGUGGUUCUAUUCUUUUAAGCCUCUAUAUUAUCCUAGAUAUGGAAGAUUCAUAUUAUUACUUGUGAAGUAUAUGUGUUGCUUUAAGGGGGUAUUCUAUUUACUGGCUAUGCUCUGUUCUUUGGAGUUGCCAUCCUUGAAUGGUUUCCUUAUGAUAAAAAAAAUGGUGGUCUGAAUCAACAAUGACUUCCUGUAAGUUCCAGCAUUAUUAAUUUUUGAACAGUAUAUGGCCAUGUUCAUAAUUUCUACACCUGGUAGGUAUGUUCAUAAUUUUUCAAAGAUUGAGAGUUGGCUCAGUUCAAGGUAGGUGUCAUGUGUUUUCCAGUCAGUAGUAUUGUGAGUUUCUUGAUUAUUUGUGUACACUUGAAUAAAAUGAUCAUGCAGGCCCACCUUAUAUACAUGGUUCACGUUUGAACCUUUUUUUAUAUUAGUAUGGAAGAAAAUUGCCAACUGCUUUAGGAACAUUUGAAGCCUAAACUUUGAAGUGGAACAAAAAAAAUGUUUGCCUAUGCUGGUACGUCAAGAAAAGCCAUUUAUUGAUGCAUUUACAUACCCUACAAUUUAUACUUUACUUAGUUGGACUAACAACACUCUUGUACAUGUUUCCUUCUUGCAGAAAUAUGAAGCCAUGUCGGGAGUCAAAUAUGACAUCUAUUAUUGUCAAAGCCUAUAGAUAUAUGUAGCUUGAAUGGCGAGUUAUGCAAUUGUGGAGCACUUAUCAUUUUGCAAAGAAUCAAGUGCUCUUCAAAAGUCUUGCAGUGUGCUGUAUUUAACCCGCCUAGCCUUCAAUUAUGUGAAGGCUAUCGCCAAUGAACACCUCCCUUAUGCUGUAGCCACUAAUAUGCUUACUUCUCCGCUAAUUAGGGACUGCUUUAAGAUGUCUACGGCAAUGACAUGUUUACUGUAUAAACCAUUAUUGACCAUGAGCCCAUUAAAGUCUUUAUUUGUCUCUGAUAUUUGUAAA